UAGGUUGCGAGCGUUGUCCGGAUUUACUGGGUGUAAAGGGCGUGUAGGCGGAGAAGCAAGUUGGGAGUGAAAUCCAUGGGCUCAACCCAUGAACUGCUCUCAAAACUGUUUCCCUUGAGUAUCGGAGAGGCAAGUGGAAUUCCUAGUGUAGCGGUGAAAUGCGUAGAUAUUAGGAGGAACACCAGUGGCGAAGGCGGCUUGCUGGACGACAACUGACGCUGAGGCGCGAAAGCGUGGGGAGCAAA
rnacentral:rRNA from 1 species